CAAUAAGUUUUCUUUUCUAACAACUUUCGUGAGCGGGCCUCCCGUAAGCUUCAGGGAAUUUUUUUAUAUCAUUAUUUGGUGAAUCUCUGUGUGAUUUUUUCUAGCAGAACGUUCAGUAAAUGAUGGUACAUGA